GAUGAAGAACGUAGCGAAAUGCGAUAAGUAGUGUGAAUUGCAGAAUUCAGUGAAUCAUCGAAUCUUUGAACGCACAUUGCGCCCGCUGGUAUUCCGGCGGGCAUGCCUGUUCGAGCGUCAUUUCAACCCUCAAGCCCCCGGGUUUGGUGUUGGGGAUCGGCUCUGCCCUUCUGGGCGGUGCCGCCCCCGAAAUACAUUGGCGGUCUCGCUGCAGCCUCCAUUGCGUAGUAGCUAACACCUCGCAACUGGAACGCGGCGCGGCCAUGCCGUAAAACCCCAACUUAUGAAUGUUGACCUCGGAUCAGGUAGGAAUACCCGCUGAACUUAAGCAUAUCAAUAAGCGGAGGA
rnacentral:misc_RNA from 1 species